AUUGAACGCUGGCGGCAUGCCUUACACAUGCAAGUCGAACGGCAGCAUGAUCUAGCUUGCUAGAUUGAUGGCGAGUGGCGCACGGGUGAGUAAUACAUCGGAACGUGCCCUGUAGUGGGGGAUAACUAGUCGAAAGAUUAGCUAAUACCGCAUACGACCUGAGGGUGAAAGUGGGGGACCGCAAGGCCUCAUGCUAUAGGAGCGGCCGAUGUCUGAUUAGCUAGUUGGUGAGGUACAGGCUCACCAAGGCGACGAUCAGUAGCUGGUCUGAGAGGACGAUCAGCCACACUGGGACUGAGACACGGCCCAGACUCCUAAGGGAGGCAGCAGUGGGGAAUUUUGGACAAUGGGCGAAAGCCUGAUCCAGCAACGCCGCGUGUGUGAAGAAGGCCUUCUGGUUGUAAAGCACUUUUGUCCGGAAAGAAAUGGCUCUGGUUAAUACCUGGGGUCGAUGACGGUACCGGAAGAAUAAGGACCGGCUAACUACGUG
rnacentral:rRNA from 1 species